UAAUAACAAGCAGGUGAGGUGGGUUGUGAGUGCAUAUUGAUUACUCUGUGAAAGUAGGUUCAGUCUUCAGUGUGAUGUAAUUGGUAGCAAUAGCAGGUCGUCCACUUGAUCCCGGACUGCUCCAGUCUGAUUACAAAGUAUCCUUGAGCAAGAAACUGAAGCGAGUUGUUCUGAGAUGCAUUCAUCUGAUUGUGAAUGUGUGAAUAAAACACUUUGCGUGAGUAGAGUUUAUUUACCCUUUAAUCUGUGCCUACGCAGCCCGGUGUUUGCGUGUGACUAACACAGGAAGUAGACGGUUUCUUUAGUGCCUGCGUGUGCUAAUAAAGAGUGUUUGCAUCACGCUGCAGGUUAAAGCAGAGGAGGUCGACCUGCAAAGCGCCGCCCCACUUUCUGACAACCUUAUUGACUUCACUGAUCCAGCUCCUGUGCUCCCACCGGUGCAGCCGACCAAACCUCUCAUCACACCGCGCUGGAUCGUCCCCACAGCCGCUCCUCCCGGCGCCUUUACUAACGGCCUGCUCGACCUUGACCCGCCGCCUAAGGUCAACCCUCUUCUCCCUUCAGAUGGGGGAGCAUCCCUCACCUCAGCCCUCCCUCACCUCACUCACACACGUAACGCCGUCUCCACCCUCUCCACCAGGUAAAAGUGUUUGCAUAUUGAACCCAAAGUUUGUUUUUUACAUCGCAGCCGUCGCUGAAGAGCACGAAACGUCUCCUCCUCACUUCACUGAGCCUGAAGUUUCAGAAGAGAACAUCCCUGAGAGUUUAACAGGAAUCGUUAAGAGCAUUUUGUUUGUGGAGGAAGAGACAGCAAAGCAAAUUACAGUUGUUUUUCAGGUCCUUUAUACACAGCUUUUUCUUAGUUUUUUAUCAUUUUGUUUGUGAAUGAAUCAGUAUUAAACAAUCAAAUGAAAAACAAUACUGAACAGCAGGUGUUUCAGUGACAGCAAGUCAGAACAUCACAAAUCAAACUUUCUGUGAGGAUCUCGGAGUUCAAGCAGACGUCUCAUUCACGCCUCAGUUCUUCAAAAGUUGUGAUUAGAAGAGUCUGAAGGAUACGACUCUUUAACCUCGUAAUGUGACGGUGUGUCUGGUUCUUUUAUGUUUUCCUCAAAUCGAUUUUUAAACUCACACAGCGAUCACCAAACUGAGCUCAAGAUCACAUUUGUGCUUUGUCACCUGUAAAUAGCGAUGGAGCUGGUUUCACUUUGUCAGACUCUAAAAACACGGGUGGACGUUUUAGCGUUUUCAUGCAGGUCUAAUGAGAAAUUUAUUGAAAAAUAAAAGCUGCAGUCAGAAAAACCCAAAAAACCCACAGAAGGCAAAUAUAUGGAAGAGGAUUAGUGCCAGCGAAAAUUCUGUUGCAGAAUUCUGAGAAAAGUCAGAAUUCUGACUUCAAGUCUGGAAACGAAGAAGAAAAAAGACGUUUUUUUCCAUACAAAUAAAAGGACGAGUGAUUUUUAUUUUCUUUCUUUUGUUUUGUGUGUACAGUAGCUUAAAUAUAUGUAUUUAAGCCUUGCAUUUUGUUUUCCAUACAGUAAGUCAUUUCUGAUUCAUAGGUUUAUACAUACAGGUUCGAGCCACGGCUUGGACAGUCUCAGUCGUUGUGUCCUUGGGCGAGACACUUCACCCGUUGCCUACU